AGAUUCCUUAAACUAGAUGUUCUAAACUUAUUGUCAAGUUCUUUGUCUAAUUUAGAGAUUAUUGUGUCAAUGAUUGCAAUGGAACUAAUCUGCGUAACCUUCUCUUUAAACUAACAAUCCAUUUCUAUAGCAUAAAUCAAUGCCAUCUUUUAUCCUUAUAGACGUGUACAAAAAACAAGAGAGUAACAAUUUAAAGAUAGCCUGCAACUAGGUAAACUGUUUUCUUUUUCAAUUUAAACAAAUAUUGAAAAAGAAUUGAAAUAAUAAAACUGUUUUCUUUCACUGGGCCCCCCAAUAGAGCCUGCUAAUUUUCCGCAAUCGGCGAAAGCCUGACGCAGCAAUGCCGCGUGGAGGUAGAAGGUCUACGGGUCGUGAACUUCUUUUCCCGAAUAUGAACGAAGCAAUGACAGUAUCUGGGGAAUAAGGUAGCCGAUUGAGACACGGUCGUCGGCGCCAUUGACAGAGGAUGCAAGCAUUAUCCAGAAUGAUUGGGCGUAAAUGUGGCUUUUUAAGUCCACCGUCAAAUCCCAGGGCGAAAUGCGUAGAGAUAAGAAAGAACACCAACGGCGAAAGCAGAGGUUGGGUCGACACUAACACUGAGAGAUGAAAGGUAGGAGAGCGAAUGGGGAUUAGAUACCCCAGUAGUCUAGGCCGUAAAGCGAUGGAUACUAGGCGCUGUGCGUAUCGACCCGUGCAGUGUUGUAGCUAACACGUUAAGUAUCCCGCCGGGGAGUACGUUAAGAAGGAAACUCAAAGGAAUUGACGGUGGCCCGCACAAGCGGUGGAGCAUGUGGUUUAAUUCAAGCGCAAUCCUCUUGAAAGAGAGGGGUGCCUUCGGGAAUGCGGACACAGGUGGUACAUGACUGUCGUUAGCUCGUGUCGUAAGGUGUUGGGUUUAAGUCCCGCAACGAACGCAACCCUCGUGUUUAGUUUCCAUCGUUGAGUUUGGAACCCUGAACGGAUUACCGGUGAUACGUCAAGUCAUCAUGCCCCUUAUGUCCUGAGCGACACACGUGCUACAAUGGUCAGGACAAAGGGUCGCGAUCCCGUGAGGGUGAUCCUAAAAAACCUGUCCUCAGGAUUGCAUGCUGCAACUCGAUUGCAUGAAGCCGGAAUCGCUAGAAAUCGCUGGUCAGCCAUACGUCGGUAAAUUCGUUCCCGUGCCUUAUGCCUUAUACACACCGCCCGUCACACUAUGUGAGCUGGUCAUGCUCAAAGUCGUUACCUUAACCGCAAGGAGGGGGAUGCCGAAGGCAGGGCUAGUGAUUGGAGUGAAGUCGUAACAAGGAGGUAGCCAUACCAGAAGGUGCGGCUG
rnacentral:rRNA from 1 species